ACACACCCUCCGUUGAUUGGUCAAAAGAAUCGUCACUUCCAGGCGACAUGGGGAUAAAAACAAACAAACAGUACCCGCGAGGUAUUAUUCUGGUGCAUGUCGUGCAAAACUUUAGCUUGGGCGAACAAGGAGGUGGAGACGUUCCGAAAUUGUUGCUGGACAACUUCCAUGGUAGCUCUUGGUUUAUUGUGCCGCGUUCCUCUGUCCCAUUGUGUUUUACUGAGCAGGCCACACUGUGUCGCGCUGCUAUGAUGUCACGAUGUUUGCGUAGCUGCCGCGGCCAUCGACAUCUGGCCUACCAUAAGGGUACUGUCGGCGGUGAAACGCGACCUCGGAACUGAGCUGGGCUAUAACCCCCCCUCGCUACUGGACUGAGGCGAACCGAACCACACCCUCCGGCCUGCCUGGCCAGGAAGCCACGACAAGCAGACUGGAACAGAGUGAGGUUCCUCCGGGUCUGCACGUCACGCUGCUCUUCCAACUUGGUGAGAGCCCCCGCUCUGAAGAAAACCUGAAGGGAACGCGGAAACAGUGCAUAAUAUUGAUAGAUGUUGAUCAAAUUUCCCGUUAUGCUUCCUACAAUCAAUGAGAUAAAUGCAAUGGACAUGCCUGGCAGCUAACGGGAAAACUUGAAAUUGAAAUCUCCUGCUGCUAUAUUACUUUGACUUUCAGUUAAGACAAAGAAAGCCCACAUACGUCUUAAGCAAUCUUAAGUAUAAUUUUAAUAUUGGUAGCAAUAAAAACUGAUAGGAAGAACAUAUAAGAAUAGUUUUCACUUACUCUACUAAGCCCCAUGUGGUAGUUGGUCUUCUCCAGUUCCAAAGAGUCCAACAGCUCCUCCACUGCCUACACACACACACACACACACACACACACACACACACACACACACACACACACACACACACACACACACACACACACACACACACA